AGCGAACGCUGGCGGCAGGCCUAACACAUGCAAGUCGAACGGCAGCACAGGAGAGCUUGCUCUCUGGGUGGCGAGUGGCGGACGGGUGAGGAAUACAUCGGAAUCUACUUUUUCGUGGGGGAUAACGUAGGGAAACUUACGCUAACACCGCAUACGACCUACGGGUGAAAGCAGGGGAUCUUCGGACCUUGCGCGAUUGAAUGAGCCGAUGUCGGAUUAGCUAGUUGGCGGGGUAAAGGCCCACCAAGGCGACGAUCCGUAGCUGGUCUGAGAGGAUGAUCAGCAACACUGGAACUGGGACACGGUCCAGACUCCUACGGGAGGCAGCAGUGGGGAAUAUUGGACAAUGGGCGCAAGCCUGAUCCAGCCAUACCGCGUGGGUGAAGAAGGCCUUCGGGUUGUAAAGCCCUUUUGUUGGGAAAGAAAUCCAGCUGGUUAAUACCCGGUUGGGAUGACGGUACCCAAAGAAUAAGCACCGGCUAACUUCGUGCCAGCAGCCGCCGUAA
rnacentral:rRNA from 1 species